AUUGACCGCUGGCGGCAGGCCUAACACAUGCAAGUCGAGCGAGCGGCGGCCGGGUGAGUAAUGUAUGGGAACUGCCUGAUAGAGGGGGAUACCUACUGGAACCGGUGGCUAAUACCGCAUACGAUCGGAUUACCCAGAUGGGAUGGGCUAGUAGGUAAGGUAAUGGCUUACCUGGGCGACGUUCCCUAGCUGGUCUGAGCGGCGGAUCAGCCACACUGGGACGGAGACACGGCCCAGACUCCUACGGAGGCAGCAGUGGGGAAUAUUGCACAAUGGGCGCAAGCCUGAUGCAGCCAUGCCGCGUGUGUGAAGAAGGCCCUAGGGUUGUAAAGUACUUUCAGUCGGGAGGCGUUACCGACAGAAGAAGCACCGGCUAACUCCGUGCCAGCAGCCGCGGUAAUAC
rnacentral:rRNA from 1 species